rnacentral:rRNA from 1 species
UGAUAGUUAAUUGGGGUCUCUCCACCCACAGGCGAGCGAUCCGUAAGCUAGAUUUCGGAAAGAUAGUACGUCAAACUCGGACUUGAGACAUGCCCGACUCCUACGGAGCAGCAGUGGGGAUAUUGACAUGGCGAAGCUGAUCCAGCAUGCGCGUGUGUGGAGAGCUUCGGUUGUAAGCACUUCAGUGGGGAAGAAAGCUUGGGCUAAUACCCUCGAGGAAAGGACAUCACCACAGAAGAAGCACCGGCUAACUCCGUGCCAGCAGCCGCGGUAAUACGGAGGGUGCGAGCGUUAAUCGGAAUUACUGGGCGUAAAGCGCGCGUAGGCGGUCUGAUAAGCCGGUUGUGAAAGCCCCGGGCUCAACCUGGGGACGGCAUCCGGGAACUGUCAGGCUAGAGUGCAGGAGAGGAAGGUAGAAUUCCCGGUGUAGCGGUGAAAUGCGUAGAGAUCGGGAGGAAUACCAGUGGCGAAGGCGGCUUUCUGGACUGACACUGACGCUGAGGUGCGAAAGCGUGGGUAGCAAACAGGAUUAGAUACCCUGGUAGUCCACGCCGUAAACGAUGUCGACUAGCCGUUGGGCUCCUUGAGAGCUUUGUGGCGCAGUUAACGCGAUAAGUCGACCGCCUGGGGAGUACGGCCGCAAGGUUAAAACUCAAAUGAAUUGACGGGGGCCCGCACAAGCGGUGGAGCAUGUGGUUUAAUUCGAUGCAACGCGAAGAACCUUACCUACCCUUGACAUCGUGCGAACUUUCCAGAGAUGGAUUGGUGCCUUCGGGAACGCACAGACAGGUGCUGCAUGGCUGUCGUCAGCUCGUGUUGUGAAAUGUUGGGUUAAGUCCCGUAACGAGCGCAACCCUUGUCCUUAUUUGCCAGCGGGUCAUGCCGGGAACUCUAAGGAGACUGCCGGUGACAAACCGGAGGAAGGUGGGGACGACGUCAAGUCAUCAUGGCCCUUACGGGUAGGGCUACACACGUGCUACAAUGGCCGGUACAAAGGGUUGCGAGGCCGCGAGGUGGAGCUAAUCCCGAAAAGCUGGUCUCAGUCCGGAUCGGAGUCUGCAACUCGACUCCGUGAAGUCGGAAUCGCUAGUAAUCGUGAAUCAGAAUGUCACGGUGAAUACGUUCCCGGGCCUUGUACACACCGCCCGUCACACCAUGGGAGUGGACUGCACCAGAAGUGGUUAGCCUAACUUCGGAGGGCGAUCACCACGGUGUGGUUCAUGACUGGGGUGAAGUCGUAACAAGGUAACCAAUCUCUAGAGUCCCCCCGGACGGUAAGU